UCCGGAGAGGGAGCCUGAGAAACGGCUACCACAUCUAAGGAAGGCAGCAGGCGCGCAAAUUACCCAAUCCUAAUACAGGGAGGUAGUGACAAGAAAUAACAAUACAGGACUUUUUGGUUUUGUAAUUGGAAUGAGUUAAGUAUAAACCCCUUUACAAGUAUCAAUUGGAGGGCAAGUCUGGUGCCAGCAGCCGCGGUAAUUCCAGCUCCAAUAGCGUAUAUUAAAGUUGUUGCAGUUAAAAAGCUCGUAGUUGGAUUUCUGUUAAUAAUUUAUAUAAAAUAUUUUGAUGAAUAUUUAUAUAAUAUUAACAUAAUUCAUAUUACUAUAUAAUAUUUUAGUAUAUGAAAUUUUACUUUGAGAAAAUUAGAGUGCUUAAAGCAGGCAUAUGCCUUGAAUACUCCAGCAUGGAAUAAUAUAAAAGAUUUUUAUCUUUUUUAUUGGUUCUAAGAUAAAAAUAAUGAUUAAUAGGGACAGUUGGGGGCAUUUGUAUUUAACAGUCAGAGGUGAAAUUCUUAGAUUUGUUAAAGACAAACUAAUGCGAAAG
rnacentral:rRNA from 1 species